UGCAUGAUACAAGAAAUAUAAUAUCAAAAAAUACAUUAUUCAGAUUUAACAAUUUAUAUAAGUUAAAACAUCGAUGACGAGUAGGUAGGUAAUGAAUGAUGUGUUUCUUUGUUUUUUAAGCCUCCAUAGUUCAGGCUUCAAUAAACAUAUUUUUAAGCAAUGUUUGCUAAUCAAAUAGUAGUUAAAACAGUAAAAAUGUAUAACUUAAAUAUUUUAAUUUUAAACAAAUAUGAUACUGUACUGUAUUGCCGAAUCUAUAUAUUAUGGUGCCAGUAUAGCAUGCGACACAAAAUUAGCUAAAUUGAUAACAUAUAAAAAAACACUAACUGUUUACCUAUAUCAAGUAAAAAACAUUUAAUUUGGAUUCAAAAUACAAUAUAAAAUAUAAACAUACAUGAUUUAAAAGGAUCUAGAUGUCACUGUUAAAGAAUACAACACAACCUUGUACUGUAAUAAGCUUCCAAACCAAUAAAAACAAUUGAUUAAAAAUUCUAAAAAAAAAUGUUGGAUUCAAAUACCAAAGUAUACUGAAGCAUGUAAUAUACUAGUAAUUGAACAAAUUGUCUUCAUUAAAUGUUUAUGAAGUGCAGUUCUUAGCUCUAAUACUAAACUCAAUAAAUGUGUUGUAAUGGACAUUAAUGUUAUGGAAUACCUAUAAAUACCAACAUGUUCCUACACAUCUCAAAUAAAAAAUAAAGUGACUGUUUACUUUGGAGUUUUGGACUACUAAAUGAACAUUAAACAGUCUACAGUCAAUAUGAGUCAAAUACUAGACUGUCAUUCAGACGAUGUUAUACGAACCCCGCGCCGCCGCCUCCGUGAAUGAUACACGUCGCGCGUAAUGCGCUGCGGCGGCGACCAACCAAAUUUUUGAAAAAGCUCUUCGUCAUGCACAAUAAAUUAGAGCUUAUCCUGAUUCAGAUUAUUAUAUUUUGUUUAUUUCUGUACGUUUAGCUCGUUCUCGAGAAAUAGAGUGGACAAACAUACAUAGGGCCAGCUCAGGCGAAAAUAGUGAACUAAGCAAAACCAAAUUUUGCCGCCCCUAACAAUAUUAUAUUAUCAGUAUUUUGAAAAUUCCGCCCUCUUUUAAAGUUACAACACAACAUUUUUUUUUUAAUUUUAAGUUUAUACUGAUGUAUUAUUGUGAUAAAAUAAUAAAAAUGUUUUUGUAAAAAUCCGAAGUCAAAAAAAUUAUUAUUUAUCCAGAUAGUCAGACAGUCAUAGAGCGGACAAGUGAGCAACCGUCCAUGUUUUACGUGUAAAAGUAGUUUGAUUUACAUAAUAAUUUUAAUAACUUACGAUAUUAUUUCAGAGUUUUGUUUUUCAUAAUCCUAAGUAUUUUUAUGUGCUUAACACGAUGGUGUGAUUUAAAAUUCAAUAUAUCUUGUAUAUCUCUGCAACAAAAACACUCCGCUAAACUCCAUGUGAGAAAAAAAAUGGCUUUAAAAUUUGUAUUAUAAUUUUAUAGCUAAGUCUUUGAACUGUAGAUAUCAUUUAUGUUAAAAUAGUCUGCUAAAUAAUUUAAUUUAGCUUGGUGACUUUAAGAGACUUGGUUAUAGUAAUAUACACUGUACAUUUUUCAAUGAUAGUACCUACCUAUAGCGAGUAUAUGUACUCAUUAUGCAAUAGUAUUUUGAAAUUUUUAACUUACGUCACCAAGCUAAGUUCAAUAUUAUUCAGCAGAUUAUUUUAACAUAAAUUAUAUCUAUAGUUCAAAGACUUAGCUAUAAAUAUCAUAACUUUUAGAGCCGAUUUUGUAUAUACCUAAUUAGCGUUUUUUUUUACACGGAGUUUGGCGGAGUGUUUUUAUUGGAAUAUCACUAAUUUUUUGUUGAUACCUUAUUAUUUGUUUAAAUCAUUGUUACGCGACUAGAAAUUAGUAAUAACGUGCUUUAAUUUUAAUAAUAUGAUAUCGUGAUUGAGAGUGAAUGUUGCCGUAGUAUGAUCAGUAGUGGGCUUGAUAAGCGGUGGAUCGGGGGGACAAUAUUAUAUUUUAUGAUAUUUACGUUGCAUACCUAUAGGUACAAAACAUCGGACUUAAAAGUACUUGAACAUUUUUGGUUGUUACUUUUAAGCCAUCCAGGCAAUCUGCUUGCGAGUUCCUAUCUGCACAAUAUUUCUGAUCGAUUAAUAUCUUAUAUUAUUAUAUUUAUUUUAAAUAUUUAUUUUAGCAGUGGUUCCUAACAAUACCUACCAUGUUUAAGAUUGGACUCUAGAAUUAUAAUUACGAAUUUAUGAUAUAGAUAUAUUAUAGAUAAUUGACCUACUGAAAAAUAUUGGAAUGUUAAAAUCAUGUACAAUUUAUUAUGCUCUAUAUUCCUUUUAAAAAGUCAAUGCUAACUUCCAAGUCAUUUUUAUAACUUUUAUACGCUUUUAAAAUUAUAUCUGAUUAUACUUUAUAUUAGGUUUUGUUGUGACUUCCUGCCGGGUUGGGUUAAGGGUUCAAGGCAGACCUUUUACUUGUCGCUGGUCCCGAGGUUACUCAUCGAAAUUUGUAUAUAAUUAUAUCUAAUCUACAGUCCACUUUCCUAUAUUAUGUUUUAAGCACUGCGUGUUUUUGGUUAUAGUGUAAUCUAUUUUAUAUGAAUAUUUUCUAUCGUGGUAUAUCCCUAUUAACUUACGAAAUUAUUAAGAAUUAUCUUAACAUUUUUUGAUAAUCGCACGUAGCGACCGUUAUAAUUGUAUACAUAACACUCAAAACAAUUUAACCAUAUAAAAUGGUUGGUAUAAAAAUAUUGAAGAGUAACUAACUAUAAUCAAUUUUAAAAUAUUUGUAACUAUAAACAUAGGUCAUAUAGUAAUGUCAAAUUGUCAACCAUCAGAGUUACUGUAUUUGUUCAUUUUUCAAAAUAAACAAAAAAAAAAGGUGGGUAAAUGGAAGUCGCUCUGCUGUACAGUAGGUUACAAGUGGGUCACUGUAAUGUAUGGUAUUAAAUUUGAAUUCAAUGAUAUAAUAUCAUUGUAUUUGUAUAAGAAAAACGAUUCUGAGCGAAAACGGUCAGGCAGCCAAUGAUAUUACCAAGUAUAUUUGAUGAUAUUAUUGUGAAUAAAGUAAUUUAUAUAUUUACUUAUUUACGUGGAAUCUUGUUUUAAAUUUUCAAUCCUUAGCUACAAAAAUUGAAAAUUUUAUAAAUUUUUAACUACAAAAUAGUUAUUAAAUUUUAAAUUUGAUACAUUUUGUCAAAAUUUGAACUUCAAAUGCUUAUAAAAAAAAAUUGUGCUUAUGUAUUUUUAAUAUUUUUCAACUGCUAUUGUAACAUUAUAUCAGGAGCCUUGCAUUAAAUUUUCACGCUUUUUUACCAAACUAAUAAAAUUGUAUUGAUAUUUAUAGAAAAAAAACUAAAAAAAUUGAAAACUGACAAUGUUCGUAAACAGCUCAAAAAGAGUCAAAUUAUUUUCAAAAUGUUAUCUUGUAUAGAAAAUGCUAAUAUAAACAUUUAGUGAAAUUUUCAAGUAUCUAUAGUAAUUUGUUUUUUAAUUAAAACAAAAUAACGAGAAAUCGAGUGAAUAUCAAAUGUUGUAAAAAUAUGAAUUUCAAACGCUCAUAAA